CUAUCAUGAAAGUGAUGUGCUUACCCUUCCUUUAUUUUAAUUUAUAUUAACUAAAUACCUUGUUUAUAUUAUUCCUUCCAGGAACACAUCAGUACAACAGUAUACCCAUUUUAGAAGAUAAAACAGACUAUGGAACACCAUGGCUGACAUGGAAAAACUUAGAGAUAAUUGAUUUUACUCAUUUUGGUGAACUGUCUCCAGUUCAGAGGCACUGGUUGUCUUAUGAGGGACGCUGGGGUAAUCCAGAGUAUAACUGCCAUGCGAUGAUGGGAGGAUUCUGUGAAACAAAUCAGGGACCAACAGGAAUACCUAAGAAGAGGAUAAAUUUCCCAUGUCAAGGAUAGAUUAUUUUACAAACUCUUUCUUCAACAGAUUCAUGAAAAGCCAAUAUUUAAACAUAAAAAAAUGAAAUGUUCAAGAUCAUGACUUUUUAAAAUAAAUAAAUUAUUAAUUACUCA